rnacentral:lncRNA from 1 species
GCCAUGCUUACUAUGAACUUGAUUAGAGAACAUCUUUUGUGCCAGUAAAUCUCAGAAACGCAGGCGGACUCGGAGGUUCUGAGGGUUGUGUGUGGAUGGCUUGGAACAGCUGUGCUCCGCUGUUCAUCCUCCCCUGCCCUCCAUCUUUGUGACACUCCCCGGCCUCCUGACUACUCAGACUGAAAAAACUCGUAAUGUUGAAGUGUCCUGACCAGACAGACCUGGUGAGUUGUGGAGCCUCGGCAGCUGUCGGCCCGGGGACACCUUUCCAGGCUGUCGUACUAGCGCCUUUCUGCAAGGAAGAUGAACUAGGAUUAGAAGAAAUCAGAUGUGUGUAUUUGUCUACCUCCUCUAGGGUCCACCUGGGCUGCCACCUGUGUCAG